rnacentral:rRNA from 1 species
AGAGUUUGAUCCUGGCUCAGGACGAACGCUGGCGGCGUGCUUAACACAUGCAAGUCGAACGGUAAGGCCCUUCGGGGUACACGAGUGGCGAACGGGUGAGUAACACGUGGGUAAUCUGCCCUGCACAUCGGGAUAAGCCUGGGAAACUGGGUCUAAUACCGAAUAGGACCACAGGACACAUGUCCUGUGGUGGAAAGCUUUUGCGGUGUGGGAUGGGCCCGCGGCCUAUCAGCUUGUUGGUGGGGUGAUGGCCUACCAAGGCGACGACGGGUAGCCGGCCUGAGAGGGUGUCCGGCCACACUGGGACUGAGAUACGGCCCAGACUCCUACGGGAGGCAGCAGUGGGGAAUAUUGCACAAUGGGCGAAAGCCUGAUGCAGCGACGCCGCGUGGGGGAUGACGGCCUUCGGGUUGUAAACCUCUUUCACCAUCGACGAAGGUCCGGGUUUUCUCGGGCUGACGGUAGGUGGAGAAGAAGCACCGGCCAACUACGUGCCAGCAGCCGCGGUAAUACGUAGGGUGCGAGCGUUGUCCGGAAUUACUGGGCGUAAAGAGCUCGUAGGUGGUUUGUCGCGUUGUUCGUGAAAUCUCACGGCUUAACUGUGAGCGUGCGGGCGAUACGGGCAGACUUGAGUACUGCAGGGGAGACUGGAAUUCCUGGUGUAGCGGUGGAAUGCGCAGAUAUCAGGAGGAACACCGGUGGCGAAGGCGGGUCUCUGGGCAGUAACUGACGCUGAGGAGCGAAAGCGUGGGGAGCGAACAGGAUUAGAUACCCUGGUAGU